rnacentral:rRNA from 1 species
AUACGUAGGUGGCAAGCGUUGUCCGGAAUUACUGGGUGUAAAGGGCGUGUAGGCGGGGAUGCAAGUCAGAUGUGAAACCCCAUGGCUCAACUGUGGGCUCGCAUCUGAAACUGUGUUUCUUGAGUGUUGGAGAGGGAAGUGGAAUUCCUAGUGUAGCGGUGAAAUGCGUAGAGAUUAGGAGGAACACCAGUGGCGAAGGCGACUUCCUGGCCAACAACUGACGCUGAGGCGCGAAAGCGUGGGGAGCAAACAGGAUUAGAUACCCUGGUAGUCCACGCCGUAAACGAUGGAUACUAGGUGUAGGUGGUAUAAGCCAUCUGUGCCGCAGUAAACACAUUAAGUAUCCCACCUGGGGAGUACGACCGCAAGGUUGAA